rnacentral:rRNA from 1 species
UACGUAGGGGGCAAGCGUUGUCCGGAUUUAUUGGGCGUAAAGAGCGUGUAGGCGGUUUGUCGCGUCUGCUGUGAAAUCCCGAGGCUCAACCUCGGGCUUGCAGUGGGUACGGGCAGACUAGAGUGCGGUAGGGGAGAUUGGAAUUCCUGGUGUAGCGGUGGAAUGCGCAGAUAUCAGGAGGAACACCGAUGGCGAAGGCAGAUCUCUGGGCCGUAACUGACGCUGAGGAGCGAAAGCAUGGGGAGCGAACAGG